UAAGAUAUUAUUAUAGCUAAAUCACGAAAUUGUCAUGAAUAACGAAAGUAAUAUCCAAAUUAAGAAGCAAAUAAAGUAAUAGGAAACUGAAUAAUCUGUGAAUUUUGGCGUCUGGUUCGUUUGUCAACUUCAGUUUGGUUGUGGAUAAGUUUUUAUGUCUAUAACGAUGCAAUGUGACGCUUUUGAUUCUUAAAAAAAACUCGUAAAUAUUUGAAGAAAUCUGUUUUAGCGUUUAAAUUGUUAGUGUACCUGUAUCUAACUGACUUUGUGGAUUUACUGAAAACGACAUAGAUGGAAGAUCCAGGGACCGAUUCAACGUCAAAAUGUGUAGUAAAUUGGCGUCGACAGUUGAACUGUGUCUGUCUGUCUCUCUGCGGGCAUUACGGACAACUGAUGACGUCCACGCAACACAUUUCGUAGUCUCGAUUUUCUUAAGAGAAUCGUGUGGCCACUUAACUCCUUAUUGGAAAUUGUCUGCAGAGUGCAAAUGGGACAAGCUGAUCAGACCACAGUAUCGCCUCGCAAUUCAGCAAGUAUCUGUGAACGAAGAACUGGACUUCAAGAAAGCCUACAUUUAUAUUUAACAAGUAGAAUGUAGUACUUAACCUGUGUCAACAGUUGCCUAUGGCCAGAUGAAAUGGUCCCACCAAACAUUUCCUUACCAGUUAAACAAUAGUUUUGUAGCACUCAAGAUUCAUAAGUUUAUCAUGUCAAGUACUUCAGUACAUUUCAGGAUAGCUGUUUCCAUUUCUUACCAGUUUAAGAUGACUAUAGGUUCGAUCAGUUUUAGGAUACGUACAUAUCUUUUUAAAAAAUAAAUUCGCUAUAUGUUUAAUAUUAGCUAUCAAGUACUACUAGAAGUUCUGUGUGUUUCAGGAUACAUAGUUUUGCUUGAUCAGGGAUCUAGUGUCGGUGUGAUAUCAGUCAAAAGUAGCUCAGUGUGUCUGGAUACGUAGGUCAUUCAAUUUUCUUGUGAAGUAUUAGCAAUCUGGCAACUUUCAGGAUAAGUGCUUUUUAUUUACAUAAGAUUAAUAAUAGUUUCAAAUUAACCAUAAAAAAAUCUCGGUUGGUUUUAGGAUAAUUAGCCUUUAUUUUGUUUAUCUGAAUAUAUAAUUGAAAUAUUAGUUCAAUAGUUAUGCCUUAAAAUACCAAAUGUUCACUUGAAUUUCUCAGCAGUGUUGACAUCAGCUGCAAAGGAACGUAGUCAUUCAUAUCAGGCUGCAUAGUUUUUACCUGUGUUCCCAUUAGUUGACCAUCAUCUAUCAGGUAGUUACGGCUGUUCCAGGCUCCAUAAUUUUAAACAUAAAUUUCUUGUUAGUGAAAUAGCAGCUAUUAGGCAGCCAUGGCUACUUUGUGAGUAUCUUAUAUCGAGGUCACAUAUGUUAAAGAAUAGCUUUUCAUCAACUUAGAGUAAUAUUACAGUCAAGUAAUUGACUUUCAUAGAAUACAUCUUCGUCUAGUUGUGAUCUGCAAGCUUGCCUAUGUACGAAGGUCACUUGAGUUUAAUGGUAGGAUAUAAUGACGAUUUUCUGUCAUUCCCUGACCCUCAACAAAAAAUAUCAAUAGCAAAAAAAUGUCAAUAGUUGUAAACAACAGGAUUGACUGACUUAAUGGAAUAUCUUCGUGUUGGUCAGUAUAGUUAGGAAUAAUUGUGGAGUCAGACUUUUCAGGUAUUGGCGUUUAUAGAAUAGAUAACAUUCAAGGCUAAUUAUUCCUGAUAUAUUUCCUCAGCAAAGCUUACUAUAAAUAUUGCUAAACUAACUUCUAUAGCAGUAGGACUUGGAAUAAAGAUACUCAUAUACAUUUUUGAAAGUUUUUUCCACAUUUUGUUUCUUUAGUGAUUUAAAUCAGAUUUCCUUUAGAAAAUUGGGAAUAGUUCCAAGGUCUUGCGUUAUUGUAAUGUUAUGUCAGUGUUGGUUCUUAUACUUUAAAAAUUAAGAUACUGGAAGGCUCUGUUGAAUACAAGGAAGAGAACUCAUCCUGAAGCAUUGGCAUGAUUGAAAUGCUAAGAUAGAAUGUAGUUUAUUAGUUUCAUCUCAAAAAAAGUAUAAAGAACUUUUCGUUCUUUCCAAGCGAUUAAACAAAACUGUGAAUUUUGUACAUAGCUUGCCAUGACAAAAAUGCUUCUUGUUUAAUAAAGGUUAAUUGUGUAAGUAUUGGAGAGUACUUUAUCAAGGGCAUUAUCAUCAUGGCAUCUCUGCAUAUUUCAAGACACUGAGGCUGGGGAUGGGGAGGUUCCAGAAUAAGUAUUCUUUGCGGGCAGUUAUGCAUUGUAGUAAAAAUGUAUCAUAGAUAAAAAUUAUGGAAUAAGUGAACUUUGAAUUUCACUGUAACUUUAAGGGCCAUUUGCAAUACUGUUAAUGGUAUUUUAGGUAAAGGAUUCAGUCAUAUUGUAAUUCAGUCAUUACUUGUGGAUAGUUUGUUUUUUUCUGAAAAUACCAUAGGUAGAUGAACCUGUAAGUACACUCAAAUUCAAAGCGUUACCUUAAAUGAGAUUAGGUAUUGUUAACAAGGGUGCCUUAGGUAUAUGAAUGUCAAUUCGAAAGUAGUCUCUGAAAGGGAGUAGUUUGACAAGGCUAUAUUUGGCAUAUGCAUAAACAAGCAUUCUCAGUUAUGUGAACAGUUUAUUCGACUUCAUGCUACAUUGAUAGAUAAGCUUUCUUGGAAGAUUAAAAUCACCUGCCUUGAGAACUAGUCAUUUAUUUUUCUCAAAGAAACUUAGUAUAUUCGAGACAUUUGACUCAAGAUCAAUUCCUUCCAUAGUAGACCCGUAGCUACUGGGAUAUUUGCUAUUUAAUUGAAUAUGAUUUGUUACUGUUUCCUUGCAAGGUUCUCACAGAGGGACUGAUUUUCCAUGAACACUGUGAAUUGGAGCAGUUAGGUUAAAGAGGUUGAACAGCAAAGUGGAAGGAACUAUAGGGGAAACUAUCUAAUAAUCAGGGAGUUCUGUUACACGUAGACUUGGCUUAAAGAAUGAUUAUCAGACCCGUAAUUACAUUGCAAGAGGGUACAUCUUAAGUUGCUUGUGAUUCUUAACAGAAAACAUUUGAGAAAUGCAAUUAUUUUUGAGUUAUAGUUCUAGUCAGUUUUAGAAUAAGUGCAAGUGUCUUGACAUAUGGAGAAUUUUUGGUUAAGGUAUAAUGGAUUUUUUGUUGAAUUAUUGCAUAGCGUUCCCAUUGAGUUUAUAGUUGAAGAUUCAGCUGUUAAUGUUAAAGAUGUAACUGUUAUUGUAAAGAAUUAACUUUAAAUUUUGAAUAAUUGGAAAAUUAUUGUCAUACCAAAUUGUAAAUUGAUUUUGUACAGAAACUGUGUUUCAGCUUUCUGCUCAGUUCUCACCAAGUACUGCAUAAGGCCUCAUUUAUCUAGGAGUAUGAAUUACUUCUGUUAGGUCCUAAUGAAACGAAAUAAGCUUAAAAACUGCUGAAAAUACUCUAGCCAUACCAGAAAAGUCUGAAUAUAGGAACCAGAUACAUAUUGUUGUAAAUUGAUGUAAGUAUCUUAGACACUGUUCUUAUUUCUUCCUCUCAACCUUCCAGUCUGUCUAGACCUUUUAUUUUUCUUCUGUCAAGUCUAAAUCUUAUAUACUAUACAUUCAUUGGUAUCUUUUCGGUCUGCUGUUAAAGCUGCUACUAGGAACUCUUUGCAGCACAACUUGUAAGCUGCUGAAUUGCAAUUUUCCACUUUUCAUGCUGCAAUAAAACCAUCGCCAUUUGUUGACCAAUUUCUGCAUUCUCUCUCUCUCUCUCUCUCUCUCUCUCUCUCUCUCUCUCUCUCUCUCUCACAUGGUUUUUUAAAGCUUAAUUUCACACUUUCACACUUGAAUUCCCGCUUAUUCACACUACAUACUUCAAGGUGCUUUUUCCAUUACUUCUAGACACAGGGAUUAAACACCUCACAUUUCUUCACAUUCCCACACUUAAAAGCUUCCUUGAUUACUUUAAAUACUCACUCUAAACACACAGCAAAAACAUUUAUGUGUUCAAUUUGUCCAUAAUCACAGAUAUUACGACUUUAGAUGAGGGUAUGAAACCGGUAAUAGAUCUUUGGGCGUGUAAUAUUUGUUUUGGUACCUAAAUUAGAGUGAAUUCUGUUGUUGUGCAUGUAUUUUUUAAUGAGAUUAAGUUGAGAGGUUCAUAUUUACCCUAAUAUUAGAGAAGGGAAGCCUUUCUUUAGCAUUGUGUACUAAGUGAGCGCAGGAGCAGUUGUCUGUCAAUUUUGGCUUAUUUUCUUAUAUGUAUACUUAUAUAAACACUGUAUGUACACAAAACUGGAAAUAUUGAAAAAUAAAGGCUCUGGGAGCCAGCAAUGCAAUGCCUCGAGGUGGGGGGAGGGAGAGAGCCUCCUCAGCUGGAGGUAAUGAAACCAAUCGGUUACCAACUUUGAAGUCGACCCAAAAAAGGGCUUAUUAUAAUAAUAAUUAAGUUUUCUAAACUGACGGCUGGCCAGUUGGGAAGAAGUCUUGUAUAUACUUCCUUCAUGCUUUUUAAUAUGUUUGUCAGUUUUAUAUGCCACAAGGGAAGAUAUGUUAGACCUCCAAAUGUCAGAGAAUGUUGUUGAGUACAGUUAAGCCUAAGGUGGGCAUGGCAAGGUUUUACACCAGCAAGACAAGCCUGGACUUACGUUCACUCUCAUGGCUGUAGUUUCGUACUUAUGCAAAUGUUUUGGUUGAUUUGUAGUGUCCUGGCGUAUAUUGACCCACCCACAAAAAAUUUGAUAUCUACCUGUGUAAAUGUACAUUUUGGCAUUCUGUUUUCCAUUUCAGUUGAAGAUUUUCUAGUUUUUAAAAGUUUCUCUAACAUCAUAUUAGAAAAUUAGUGUUUUUGGUAUAAUUACACCUCAUAGAAAACAGGAGAACAAGUAAUGAAAGAUGGUGACAAAGAUAGAUAUACAUCGUGAAUGUUUUAUUAGCCAUUUUGGCCUUGACUUAGUACCAGACAGAAUCCUUGACUUUGAGAGCUGAGAAUAUUAUUUUACUUGUAAAUUUCAAUUGAUGAAGCUAUGAAUAAUUUGUUAAGAAAAUCUACGAUUUAUAUACUACAUUUGUCAAUCUGUUUUCUGUUUUCAUUAAUUUCUUGUAAGAUUUUCUCUUGCAUCUUGUUACAGAAUUUGUGUUAAGUCUCGUAAAAGACUGUGGAAUAUGUAUAUUUUUGUUAUCAUUAGGUUCUGCCAUUUUCUGGCCUAAUUUAUGUAAGUUUGCUAUUGUGACAGGAAGAAAAUACCAACUUUCUGAGCAUUAUUUACCAAAGUUAGAGAAUUUGUCCUGUUUACUGAUUAUUUAUUGUGUCACUGGAAGUUUUUAUUACUUUACAAGAAAUUUUUCCUACAAGGUUAUUUUUAAGUGUAUUUGGUGUCAUUUAUGUCCUCCGGAUGUCUAAAAACGUGUACGUACUGUAAAGUUUUUAAACUCAAGUUAAAAGUCGUCUUGAAAGAUUAAACGUAAUUCUAGAAGAUAUAAAGUUCCAAGGUACAAAAGUUAAAAGUUUUCUUAUAUCCAAAGCAAGUCUACUCAAGACAUAAAGUUAAAAGUCAUGCUAAAAGCCUUUAAAGUAAGUCUUUAAAAACAUUUUGGAAGUUAAAACUCAUCCUGUUGGUCACGUUUUUGACAAAACUAUUGAUUAUAUAUCGGACACAUGCCGUCGUUCCAAAAGGUGGUACCAGCUUGGGGCUCAAACGCCUUCUCGUCUUAGCCUUGGCAUUUCAUUCGUGUAUUUGAAAUAAAAGAAGGGCUAAAAUACCACGAUGGCCAUGUUUGAAAGUCUGUGUGAGAAACCUUAACAAAUUUCAUAACAUCGUCAGCUAAUUAGAAAAAGUCUCGGGUGUUUGUGAGUGUUAAUUUUAGAGGACUGUUUAUUGAAACCUUUGCAGAAAGGUUAAUGUGUAAUAAUGUGGCUCUGGAUAUACUAGAAAGGUUAUUAUAGGCCUAGUACUUUCACCAAAUACCUCACCAUAAGUUCAUGCUAAGCUUCUGAGGCUGUGAGAGAUAAUACUAAAAACAAAAGGUUUCCCUGUCAUUUAAUUAGAUGAGGAAAGAAGUCAUCAGGUUACCUGUCUAAUGUAAGGCUUAAUGUAUAUAGAAAGUAAUCCCAUGAAUAGCUUGGUAAUAAGGUUCAGAUGACUCGUGCUAUGGAGGAACUAAGUCGUUGCCUUGCAGAAACUGCAGCAGUUUUUAAUGCCAAUUUCUUAAAUGUUUACUUCAGUUUGUAAUAGUUUAGUGGCUUCAGGUGCUGAAAUGUUUCCUUAUAAGUUUUUUUUAGACAGAGAAAGUGUUGUUUAAGUUUACUGCGCUUUGUGUCGGCUUGUAGAAUUAGAGAUGCCAUUUCCCAGAUGUGAAGUGCUCGAAUAUUGGAUACGAGAUUUUAUUUUGUUGCUUUGUGGAUAUUUAGAUCUACAACUAGUGUGUAACUUUUGCAUUGCUCCAAAAUUGAUCUUGGCAGGGUUGGCUGAGUCAUGGUACCUUUGAGAAGUCACUCAAACAUCAGCUGAUUUUACAGUUAAUGUGCCUGAUCUAGGGUAACUUAAUACACUGGUCACGAUGUAUGAUAGAAAUGUCUUUUUUUGAUUUUGUAUUGAUUUGCAUCUUAACAUUUCUAUAGAUGUCAGUGGAUUUGUGUAGAGGUUUUCUGAGUGUUGGGACAGUAAUGACGUUCAGGAGGUAUGUUGCUUUGUAGUUUAAGGUUAAAUAAGUCAUUUUUUAUUGGAUUCAAAGUGUUAUUCCACGAGAGUCUAAGUUUUGGAAUAAUUAAAUGAUCGAAGGGUUUCAUUGUUUGUAAGUAGUAAACUUUGUUGUUCAGGAAACUUUGGUAAUGUUUAGCUUUAUUAGGAGUGUGCUAAGAGUUUCAUCUUGGCUACAGAGUCUAGUGCAGUAGUGGAAUCUUCUCAUCUCCAGAUGUUUUAGACUGAUGUCUCCUGAAUAUCAGGUGCAACAGUUUUACUCUCUCUCUCUCUCUCUCUCUCUCUCUCUCUCUCUCUCUCUCUCUC